rnacentral:rRNA from 1 species
GUCAUCCCGACUUACCAACCCGAUGCAAACUGCGAAUACCGGAGAAUGUUAUCACGGGAGACACACGGCGGGUGCUAACGUCCGUCGUGAAGAGGGAAACAACCCAGACCGCCAGCUAAGGUCCCAAAGUCAUGGUUAAGUGGGAAACGAUGUGGGAAGGCCCAGACAGCCAGGAUGUUGGCUUAGAAGCAGCCAUCAUUUAAAGAAAGCGUAAUAGCUCACUGGUCGAGUCGGCCUGCGCGGAAGAUGUAACGGGGCUAAACCAUGCACCGAAGCUGCGGCAGCGACACUAUGUGUUGUUGGGUAGGGGAGCGUUCUGUAAGCCUGUGAAGGUGUACUGUGAGGUAUGCUGGAGGUAUCAGAAGUGCGAAUGCUGACAUAAGUAACGAUAAAGCGGGUGAAAAGCCCGCUCGCCGGAAGACCAAGGGUUCCUGUCCAACGUUAAUCGGGGCAGGGUGAGUCGACCCCUAAGGCGAGGCCGAAAGGCGUAGUCGAUGGGAAACAGGUUAAUAUUCCUGUACUUGGUGUUACUGCGAAGGGGGGACGGAGAAGGCUAUGUUGGCCGGGCGACGGUUGUCCCGGUUUAAGCGUGUAGGCUGAUUUUCCAGGCAAAUCCGGAAAAUCAAGGCUGAGGCGUGAUGACGAGGCACUACGGUGCUGAAGCAACAAAUGCCCUGCUUCCAGGAAAAGCCUCUAAGCAUCAGGUAACAUCAAAUCGUACCCCAAACCGACACAGGUGGUCAGGUAGAGAAUACCAAGGCGCUUGAGAGAACUCGGGUGAAGGAACUAGGCAAAAUGGUGCCGUAACUUCGGGAGAAGGCA